UACGAAGGGGGCUAGCGUUGCUCGGAAUUACUGGGCGUAAAGGGCGCGUAGGCGGACAACUUAGUCAGAGGUGAAAGCCCAGGGCUCAACCUUGGGAUUGCCUUUGAUACUGGUUGUCUUGAGUUCGGGAGAGGUGAGUGGAAUGCCGAGUGUAGAGGUGAAAUUCGUAGAUAUCGGGAGGAACACCGGUGGCGAAGGCGGCGACCUGGGUCGAUACUGACGCUGAGGUGCGAAAGCGUGGGGAGCAAACAGG
rnacentral:rRNA from 1 species